GACGAACCGUGCGAACGUUGUUCGGAAUUACUGGGCGUAAAGGGCUCGUAGGCGGCCAACUAAGUCAGACGUGAAAUCCCUCGGCUUAACCGGGGAACUGCGUCUGAUACUGGAUGGCUUGAGUUCGGGAGAGGGAUGCGGAAUUCCAGGUGUAGCGGUGAAAUGCGUAGAUAUCUGGAGGAACACCGGUGGCGAAGGCGGCAUCCUGGACCGACACUGACGCUGAGGAGCGAAAGCCAGGGGAGCAAACGGG
rnacentral:rRNA from 1 species